rnacentral:lncRNA from 1 species
AUGGAAGACAUAAGGCUGAUGAUUACUUAGAUCUUCUUAUUGGAGGAAGGAUUCCUUCACAGUCAUCACCAUUGUCUGGAAGGUAGCUUGUUGAAUCAUCAGACUCUGCAUAAGAAUUUUCUUGGGAAAAGCUUAAGCUUCCUUCUUCAAGGAUUUUCUGGAAAUCUUGAGGGGUCUUAGCUGCUGCGAGUAUAGCUUGUAACUGUUGCUUUUUGAGGAGAAACUGAGACAUAUCAUCACUGGUUGAGACUUGUGUGGG